UACACUGUAAAUGCUAACAUUCAAAUUAAUUAAAUUUGAUAAGUGAACUAAACUCAGUUUUCAUCAACCUGUUGUGAACACUACUUUUAAAUAAGUAAGUAGUAAUUUGGGGUUGGAGAACUUGCUUAACUUGAUAUAUCCCAGUUAAGUCAAAUUAGAAAAAAUAAUUUAUUGUACCCAGUGUCCUUUGCGCGUUCUAUCAGACAUGCGCAGAUCUGCCCUGCCUACUUUCGCGCUCUUUCCAACACCUUUCUCAUUUAUUUUCGCCAUUGUGGGUUUAUUUGUCCUCAGCACACUGAUUUGGCUGAAGCAAAUGGUCAGAAGUCCACACAUACCUCAGUCUCUGCAAUUACAGGUCAACCAGAGCAGUAUUCUCUAAUGCAGUGGACUUGUAAGUACUGCACAUUUUCUGCUGGAAAGAGAGGCUACUUGCUUAAGCAUUACCGCUUAAAACAUGGAUUCCACACUCGGACAUCCCUACUCCCCAUGUCUUCAUAAGGACUGCCUCUGCACAUUUAAAUCUUUUAAUGCACUCAAAGUACACCUAUCGACAUGCCACUCUCAAAAAGAUGCAGACAAAAGUGGAGAAACUGCAUUUGACUGUCAGUUGUGCAACUUUGUGGAGCCUUGUUAAGAAGCAGACUUCUUUCCCCAUUUGCGAAGACAUCUUAAGCUGAGGCAAAUGGUUACUUGCAUAUAUCAAGACUGUAACUUUCAGAGCACUGUUUAUUCUACCUUCACUGCACACAAAAGCAGAAAUGUGAAAUGAGUUUGAACCAUAGUAUGGGUAGGACAUUUGUGUCUAAAUCAUUCAAUCCCAAUAAAAGUUGCUUCAAUCAAAAAAAAUAUUUUUAAUGAAAGAAAAAUAACCUCUUGCUAAAAUGUUUUUUUGAAAAUAUAUAUUUUUUGAAAUAUAUAUAUUUUUUUAUU